GGGAUUUUGUUUUGUUUUCCUCUACCCAAAGGUAUAUUUCCCAAGAGAUAUAACUAAAACAUUCAAUAAUAUUUCUUUGUAUAGCAUCCAAUAAUGCAAUGGCUGGAAGACAAGAAAGCGAUGGAGUAGCUGGGCGGGUGCACUGGAUAUUAUCAAUAAUUUUGAUGCUGUGGAGUUACCAGAGCAGUGGACAAGGACAAGACUCGUUUGCUAAUGCAACAGGGUAACCCUGCAGUGAAAUGCUCUGUACUUCUGAUGUUCUGCAG
rnacentral:lncRNA from 1 species